CCAGACUCCUACGGGAGGCAGCAGUGGGGAAUAUUGCACAAUGGGGGAAACUCUGAUGCAGCGACACCGCGUGAGUGAAGAAGUAUUUCGGUAUGUAAAGCUCUAUCAGCAGGGAAGAAAAUGACGGUACCUGACUAAGAAGCUCCGGCUAAAUACGUGCCAGCAGCCGCGGUAAUACGUAUGGAGCAAGCGUUAUCCGGAUUUACUGGGUGUAAAGGGAGCGCAGGCGGCGCGCCAAGUCUGGUGUGAAACCCCGGGGCUCAACCCCGGGACUGCAUUGGAAACUGGCGGGCUGGAGUGUCGGAGGGGCAGGCGGAAUUCCUGGUGUAGCGGUGAAAUGCGUAGAUAUCAGGAGGAACACCGGUGGCGAAGGCGGCCUGCUGGACGACAACUGACGCUGAGGCUCGAAAGCGUGGGGAGCAAACAGGAUUAGAUACCCUUGUACC
rnacentral:rRNA from 1 species